rnacentral:rRNA from 1 species
GGUUAAGCGACUAAGCGUACACGGUGGAUGCCCUGGCAGUCAGAGGCGAUGAAGGACGUGCUAAUCUGCGAAAAGCGCCGGCGAGGUGAUAUGAACCUUUGACCCGGCGAUGUCCGAAUGGGGAAACCCAGUGUGAUUCGUCACACUAUCGUUAACUGAAUACAUAGGUUAACGAGGCGAACCGGGGGAACUGAAACAUCUAAGUACCCCGAGGAAAAGAAAUCAACCGAGAUUCCCCCAGUAGCGGCGAGCGAACGGGGAGCAGCCCAGAGUCUGAAUCAGCUUGUGUGUUAGUGGAACGGUCUGGAAAGUCCGGCGAUACAGGGUGACAGCCCCGUACACGAAAGCACACAGGUUGUGAACUCGAAGAGUAGGGCGGGACACGUGGUAUCCUGUCUGAAUAUGGGGGACCAUCCUCCAAGGCUAAAUACUCCUGACUGACCGAUAGUGAACCAGUACCGUGAGGGAAAGGCGAAAAGAACCCCGGCGAGGGGAGUGAAAAAGAACCUGAAACCGUGUACGUACAAGCAGUGGGAGCACCUUCGUGGUGUGACUGCGUACCUUUUGUAUAAUGGGUCAGCGACUUAUAUUCUGUAGCAAGGUUAACCGUAUAGGGGAGCCGAAGGGAAACCGAGUCUUAACUGGGCGUUAAGUUGCAGGGUAUAGACCCGAAACCCGGUGAUCUAGCCAUGGGCAGGUUGAAGGUUGGGUAACACUAACUGGAGGACCGAACCGACUAAUGUUGAAAAAUUAGCGGAUGACUUGUGGCUGGGGGUGAAAGGCCAAUCAAACCGGGAGAUAGCUGGUUCUCCCCGAAAGCUAUUUAGGUAGCGCCUCGUGAACUCAUCUUCGGGGGUAGAGCACUGUUUCGGCUAGGGGGCCAUCCCGGCUUACCAACCCGAUGCAAACUACGAAUACCGAAGAAUGUUAUCACGGGAGACACACGGCGGGUGCUAACGUCCGUCGUGAAGAGGGAAACAACCCAGACCGCCAGCUAAGGUCCCAAAGUCAUGGUUAAGUGGGAAACGAUGUGGGAAGGCACAGACAGCCAGGAUGUUGGCUUAGAAGCAGCCAUCAUUUAAAGAAAGCGUAAUAGCUCACUGGUCGAGUCGGCCUGCGCGGAAGAUGUAACGGGGCUAAACCAUGCACCGAAGCUGCGGCAGCGACGCUUAUGCGUUGUUGGGUAGGGGAGCGUUCUGUAAGCCGUUGAAGGUGUGCUGUGAGGCAUGCUGGAGGUAUCAGAAGUGCGAAUGCUGACAUAAGUAACGAUAAAGCGGGUGAAAAGCCCGCUCGCCGGAAGACCAAGGGUUCCUGUCCAACGUUAAUCGGGGCAGGGUGAGUCGACCCCUAAGGCGAGGCCGAAAGGCGUAGUCGAUGGGAAACAGGUUAAUAUUCCUGUACUUGGUGUUACUGCGAAGGGGGACGGAGAAGGCUAUGUUAGCCGGGCGACGGUUGUCCCGGUUUAAGCAUGUAGGCGGAGGUUCCAGGUAAAUCCGGUACCUUUUAACGCUGAGGUGUGAUGACGAGGCACUACGGUGCUGAAGUAACAAAUGCCCUGCUUCCAGGAAAAGCCUCUAAGCAUCAGGUAACAUCAAAUCGUACCCCAAACCGACACAGGUGGUCAGGUAGAGAAUACCAAGGCGCUUGAGAGAACUCGGGUGAAGGAACUAGGCAAAAUGGUGCCGUAACUUCGGGAGAAGGCACGCUGAUAUGUAGGUGAAGCCCCUGCGGGUGGAGCUGAAAUCAGUCGAAGAUACCAGCUGGCUGCAACUGUUUAUUAAAAACACAGCACUGUGCAAACACGAAAGUGGACGUAUACGGUGUGACGCCUGCCCGGUGCCGGAAGGUUAAUUGAUGGGGUUAGCGGCAACGCGAAGCUCUUGAUCGAAGCCCCGGUAAACGGCGGCCGUAACUAUAACGGUCCUAAGGUAGCGAAAUUCCUUGUCGGGUAAGUUCCGACCUGCACGAAUGGCGUAAUGAUGGCCAGGCUGUCUCCACCCGAGACUCAGUGAAAUUGAACUCGCUGUGAAGAUGCAGUGUACCCGCGGCAAGACGGAAAGACCCCGUGAACCUUUACUAUAGCUUGACACUGAACACUGGUCCUUGAUGUGUAGGAUAGGUGGGAGGCUUUGAAGCGUGGACGCCAGUCUGCGUGGAGCCGACCUUGAAAUACCACCCUUUAAUGGCUGGUGUUCUAACGUAGACCCGUAAUCCGGGUUGCGGACAGUGUCUGGUGGGUAGUUUGACUGGGGCGGUCUCCUCCCAAAGAGUAACGGAGGAGCACGAAGGUUAGCUAAUCCUGGUCGGACAUCAGGAGGUUAGUGCAAUGGCAUAAGCUAGCUUGACUGCGAGAGUGACGGCUCGAGCAGGUGCGAAAGCAGGUCAUAGUGAUCCGGUGGUUCUGAAUGGAAGGGCCAUCGCUCAACGGAUAAAAGGUACUCCGGGGAUAACAGGCUGAUACCGCCCAAGAGUUCAUAUCGACGGCGGUGUUUGGCACCUCGAUGUCGGCUCAUCACAUCCUGGGGCUGAAGUAGGUCCCAAGGGUAUGGCUGUUCGCCAUUUAAAGUGGUACGCGAGCUGGGUUUAGAACGUCGUGAGACAGUUCGGUCCCUAUCUGCCGUGGGCGCUGGAGAAUUGAGGGGGGCUGCUCCUAGUACGAGAGGACCGGAGUGGACGCAUCACUGGUGUUCGGGUUGUCAUGCCAAUGGCACUGCCCGGUAGCUAAAUGCGGAAAAGAUAAGUGCUGAAAGCAUCUAAGCACGAAACUUGCCCCGAGAUGAGUUCUCCCUGACCCUUUAAGGGUCCUGAAGGAACGUUGAAGACUACGACGUUGAUAGGUCGGGUGUGUAAGCGCAGCGAUGCGUUGAGCUAACCGAUACUAAUGAACCGUGAGGCUUAACCUU